GAUGAAGAACGCAGCGAAAUGCGAUACUUGGUGUAAAUUGCAGAAUCCCGUGAACCAUCGAGUCUUUGAACGCAAGUUGCGCCCGAAGCCACUAGGCCGAGGGCACGCCUGCCUGGGCGUCACACGUCGUUGCCCCCCCCCCCAUCUACUCCUUCGGGAUUGCGGGGGGCGGAUGAUGGCCUCCCGUGCGCCUAGCCGCGCGGUUGGCAUAAAUACCAAGUCCUCGGCGACGCACGCCACGACAAUCGGUGGUUGCGAAACCUCGGUUGCCCGUUGUGUGCGUUCGUCGCGCAUCGAGGGCUCGAAAAAAUGCUCGGCUCCGGCUCGGCUUUCAACGCGACCCCAGGUCAGGCGGGGUUACCCGCUGAAUUUAAGCAUAUCAAUUAAGCGGAGGA
rnacentral:misc_RNA from 1 species